AAGGAGUGCCACCGGCACCCGCUUUUUAUGCUCGUAGAGCAUCAAAAGGUAAGGUAGAGUCUGCACAGAACACCAGAAAAUAGGCCCGGAAGCAGCCACUGUGCUUGGAAAGCGUAAUAGCUCACUGGUCUAGCAGUACUCCGCUUAUAUAUGUCCGGCACUCCAAAUUGCCGAAGCCCGCCUAUGACAA
rnacentral:rRNA from 1 species